AUUGAACGCUGGCGGCAGGCCUAACACAUGCAAGUCGAACGAGUGGCGGACGGGAGAGCAAUGUCUGGGAAACUGCCUGAUGGAGGGGGAUAACUACUGGAAACGGUAGCUAAUACCGCAUACCAUCGGAUGUGCCCAGAUGGGAUUAGCUAGUGGGUGGGGUAACGGCUCACCUAGGCGACGAUCCGUAGCUGGUCUGAGAGGAUGAACAGCCACACUGGAACUGAGACACGGUCCAGACUCCUACGGGAGGCAGCAGUGGGGAAUAUUGGACAAUGGGCGAAAGCCUGAUCCAGCCAUGCCGCGUGUAUGAAGAAGGCCUUCGGAUUGUAAAGUACUUUCAGUUGGGAGGCGUUACCCACAGAAGAAGCACCGGCUAACUCCGUGCCAGCAGCCGCGGUAAUAC
rnacentral:rRNA from 1 species